rnacentral:rRNA from 1 species
AGCGAACGCUGGCGGCAGGCCUAACACAUGCAAGUCGAACGAACUCUUCGGAGUUAGUGGCGGACGGGUGAGUAACACGUGGGAACGUGCCUUUUGGUUCGGAAUAACUCAGGGAAACUUGUGCUAAUACCGAAUGUGCCCUUCGGGGGAAAGAUUUAUCGCCAUUAGAGCGGCCCGCGUCUGAUUAGCUAGUUGGUGAGGUAACGGCUCACCAAGGCGACGAUCAGUAGCUGGUCUGAGAGGAUGACCAGCCACACUGGGACUGAGACACGGCCCAGGCUCCUACGGGAGGCAGCAGUGGGGAAUCUUGCGCAAUGGGCGAAAGCCUGACGCAGCCAUGCCGCGUGAAUGAUGAAGGUCUUAGGAUUGUAAAAUUCUUUCACCGGGGACGAUAAUGACGGUACCCGGAGAAGAAGCCCCGGCUAACUACGUG